rnacentral:tRNA from 1 species
AGCGCAUGGCCGAGUGGUCUAAGCAAUAGACUUUUACUCCAGAGUCAAUGGUUCGAGCCCAGUUGCCAGUUG